rnacentral:lncRNA from 1 species
ACCUGAUUAGGUUAUAAGAUAAUCUAAUCGUUAAGGAUGUUUGAUUCCUGAUUUGAUCAGGACUUGGGCUCGAUUAUUUUUUAAUUGGAUUAGGAUUUGAUUGAGAUAAUUAGGUGCCUAAUUGGAUUGGGUUUAACCUUCUUAAUGGGUCUAACCAAAUUAGAUUUGGAUUAGAACCUAAUGGGAUCAAACGAGAGUCCAAUUAGAUUGGACUUACCCU